CCUACGGGCGGCAGCAGUGGGGAAUAUUGCACAAUGGGGGAAACCCUGAUGCAGCAACGCCGCGUGAAGGAAGACGGUUUUCGGAUUGUAAACUUCUAUCAAUAGGGAAGAAAGAAAUGACGGUACCUAAAUAAGAAGCCCCGGCUAACUACGUGCCAGCAGCCGCGGUAAUACGUAGGGGGCAAGCGUUAUCCGGAAUUACUGGGUGUAAAGGGAGAGUAGGCGGCAAGGUAAGCGAUAUGUGAAAGCCACGGGCUCAACCCGUGAACUGCAUUUGAAACUGUUUCCCUUGAGUGUCGGAGAGGUAAUCGGAAUUCCUAGUGUAGCGGUGAAAUGCGUAGAUAUUAGGAAGAACACCAGUGGCGAAGGCGGAUUACUGGACGAUAACUGACGGUGAGGCGCGAAAGCGUGGGGAGCAAACAGGAUUAGAUACCCCGGUAGUC
rnacentral:rRNA from 1 species